CUGCCCUUUAAAGUUUAUGAAAAGGUGACUCCUUCGUGAACAAGCCCCAUAGUACAUUGUAUAGAAAGGGACAAACCUCCCUGCUGAAACUAGUGGAAGACGCUGCCCUUUAAAGUUUAUGAAAAGGUGACUCCUUCGUGAACAAGCCCCA